AACGCGAAGAACCUUUCCAAGGCUUGACAUACACCGGAAACGUCCAGAGAUGGGCGCCCCCUUGUGGUCGGUGUACAGGUGGUGCAUGGCUGUCGUCAGCUCGUGUCGUGAGAUGUUGGGUUAAGUCCCGCAACGAGCGCAACCCUUGUCCCGUGUUGCCAGCAGGCCCUUGUGGUGCUGGGGACUCACGGGAGACCGCCGGGGUCAACUCGGAGGAAGGUGGGGACGACGUCAAGUCAUCAUGCCCCUUAUGUCUUGGGCUGCACACGUGCUACAAUGGCCGGUACAAUGAGCUGCGAUACCGCGAGGUGGAGCGAAUCUCAAAAAGCCGGUCUCAGUUCGGAUUGGGGUCUGCAACUCGACCCCAUGAAGUCGGAGUCGCUAGUAAUCGCAGAUCAGCAUUGCUGCGGUGAAUACGUUCCCGGGCCUUGUACACACCGCCCGUCACGUCACGAAAGUCGGUAACACCCGAAGCCGGUGGCCCAACCCCCUUGUGGGGAGGGAGCUGUCGA
rnacentral:rRNA from 1 species